AUUCCAAACAGGCUUCAUUAUGGCGAGUCUCGGUGACAGUAAUAAGGACAGGAACACGCGUCCGCGCUAUCUGGGCGCUUUUUGAAUAAUCUCUGAAGCACUCUCCAACGGCUCGUCCUUAACCGCGGCAGACGAGCGAGGUGCUAUCUCGCUGCUUUUGUUUUCCUCACAGUUUUACCGUGUUGCAGGGUUCGCGGGGAGAGGCCACGGUUUUGUAUCACGCGGCAUUGUGAGAGGAUCUUUUCUUUUUUUUCUUUUUUCUUUUGAUAAACCGUUUUUGCCCCUCUAGCGCGGGAAGAAAUAGCUGAGCGCUCACACAACCUGUGCAGCGUGAAAGAGGGGGAGCGAGAGAGAGAGAGAGAGAGCGAGCGAGGGAGGCCACGUUCUCUCACAUUGGCCUGUCUGGGAGAGAAGAAUGCUGAUUUGCUGGAGAUGAGACACUGGCUCGCUGUCCUCCUUCAGAGCCGCUCAGAGAAUGAUGGAAGGCUGCCAUGGUCACCUGUGACGGCUCAGCCGGCUGUCACGCGCGGUACCGGUCCACUGAUGAGAGUGAAAUUACUUCAUAAUAGUAGGGGUGUUCCUGGGUUUAUACAACGAUAUGAUAAUCCUCUUUUCACACAAUGAUGAUAAUGAUCAUUAUUAUGGCAGGGGAGUAGGGGGCGAGGAAACGGCUCGGAAUGGAGACUUUGCGGCAUAAUCCUUCUGCCUUCAAAGGUUAAAUACGGAUUUGAAUACUAUGAUCCCCCCACUCUGAAAACGAUAGUGGUGCAUUUGAAGCAAAUGUGCUCAUUGUGCACUUUACCUCGCGGAGGAGCGGCAUGAGUGCCACCACCAAAGAAGGUCGCCAUGUGGUAAAAAACGAAUCAAUAAUGCAUUAUGGAGAAUGCCUGACUCAAAGGAAUCCACUGUUGGAGGAGUUGUGGUAAGUUUAAUUGGGGCUGUUGCAGCCUGAAGGUUAGCGGAGCGGGCUUUGGACCAGAACCACCAGAGCGGGAAAAAUGUGGGGAGUGUGUGAACGUGUAAUGCUCUUCUGCUCCCUUAAUGUUGCCCUACAGUGCCAGCAUGUUUCCCUUAAAACCCAGCUGCUCUAGUGGAUUGUAUCCGCUGCAAACAACAGAAAGUGGGAUGAGCAACGUCCAGUGGACGCCCAGUUACAUCCCGUCUCUAAGGGUGAAUUUGUGUAGCUUUGUAUAUAUAUCUCUAUCGAUAUGUGGGCAUCUAGCAACAAUGUGGUCAAGACUCCCAAGACUCCCACUCCCAUACACGUGGAACACAAGCGUGUAAGCCCUAGAUCAAAAGUCAGAGGAUCUCUACAGUCCUGAGGAUUUAUCCUCUGGGCACCAUGACUGCCUGCCAAAAAUGUAAGAGCACGGAGGCUCGUGCUAAGUCUAAUCUCCAAGACUUUAAAGAGUCUAAAAAGUGCGUAUGACAGCCGAGGAAAUUCUUUUUAAUGUUUAUACCUCUGACCUCAUUCUGCAAGACAGAUGUGCGCGGCUGGAUUAAGUCGGAAGUGUGCUCACGAGCACCUGUGACCUCACCCAGCAGUGAUGUCACACUGCACCGACUGUGACAAUUUGAACUCCCGAAGGGCUUUGAGAACAACAAUGUCCGUUUAAAAAA
ensembl:lncRNA